GAUCCUGGCUCAGAUUGAACGCUGGCGGCAGGCCUAACACAUGCAAGUCGAGCGGAUGAGUGGAGCUUGCUCCAUGAUUCAGCGGCGGACGGGUGAGUAAUGCCUAGGAAUCUGCCUGGUAGUGGGGGACAACGUUUCGAAAGGAACGCUAAUACCGCAUACGUCCUACGGGAGAAAGUGGGGGAUCUUCGGACCUCACGCUAUCAGAUGAGCCUAGGUCGGAUUAGCUAGUUGGUG
rnacentral:rRNA from 1 species